UGAGCGGGGAGCCGGGGCAGACGUCCGUAGCGCCCCCUCCCGAGGAGGUCGAGCCGGGCAGUGGGGUCCGCAUCGUGGUGGAGUACUGGUGAGCGGCCCCGGCUGGAGGACCCGCACCCUGGUCCCGCGGGCCGGACGGAGGUGGGUCCACGGGAGGCCCCACCCCCGAAUCCCCAGCCCAGCCCCAUCUCUUGACUCCCCAGUGAACCCUGCGGCUUCGAGGCGACCUACCUGGAGCUGGCCAGUGCUGUGAAGGAGCAGUAUCCGGGCAUCGAGAUCGAGUCGCGCCUCGGGGGCACAGGUGAGGCUCGCAGAACACCUGCUGGGUCAGUCUGUGCUCUGAAUCCCAGCUCUCCCGCUUUCUAGUUCUGACAUUGGCUGCUUUAUGUAAAGUGCCCGCAGUGCCUGGCACAUGGUAAAAUGUCCGGCCAACAUGAGUUCCCUUCCAUAGGUCAGGGGGUGUCACAGAGGCCUGUGGGGAAAAACCUAUUAGACUGCAAUCGUGUAGGGUUGGAGGGGAGGGAGUCCUUUAUUGAGUGUUGCGAGGGGCACACAGGCGAGGCCUCCCUCAGGUUCCCUGGAGUUGACCCAGGGUUGGGGAAUUGCUUAAGGAGCUACAAAUGGGUCUCCAGUGGGAUUGAUGGGGGACUUGAAGGCGGGGGACCCCUUUGGAGGAACUCCUGACUUCUGCCUAUGUUCUCAGUGUACCAUUUAUCUGUUGAUUUCUUACCAGGUGCCUUUGAGAUAGAGAUAAAUGGACAGCUGGUGUUCUCCAAGCUGGAGAAUGGGGGCUUUCCCUAUGAGAAAGAUGUGAGUAUUUACAGCGUUGGGAGGACCUCUUGGUCACCCUACCCCAACAGUGCAUCAUCCUGUCAUUCCACUCCUCUAGCUCAUUGAGGCCAUCCGAAGAGCCAGUAAUGGAGAAACCCUAGAAAAGAUCACCAACAGCCGUCCUCCCUGCGUCAUCCUGUGACUGCACAGGACUCUGGGUUCCUGCUCUGUUCUGGGGUCCAAACCUUGGUCUCCCUUUGGUCCUGCUGGGAGCUCCCCCUGCCUCUUUCCCCUACUUAGCUCCUUAGCAAAGAGACCCUGGCCUCCACUUUGCCCUUUGGGUACAAAGAAGGAAUAGAAGAUUCCGUGGCCUUGGGGGCAGGAGAGAGACACUCUCCAUGAACACUUCUCCAGCCACCUCAUACCCCCUUCCCAGGGUAAGUGCCCACGAAAGCCCAGUCCACUCUUCGCCUCGGUAAUACCUGUCUGAUGCCACAGAUUUUAUUUAUUCUCCCCUAACCCAGGGCAAUGUCAGCUAUUGGCAGUAAAGUGGCGCUACAAACACUAAUGCUAACUAGUGUGUGUUUUUAUACGUCCAGUCUGGGAAUGUGGGGGGCACAGAAGUCCGGUCAGCCCAGCCUUUGCACCGCCAGGGUGGCUGUGCUGGCUGGGUGGGCUUUCUGGACAGCUACUCCUUAGGUCAGUGAGCUCCUCUGGCAUAGCCAAGGCAAGGAAAAUGAGUCCCACAGUAGACCCUGCCUCGUCUUUCCCCCACCCUACCCACCACUCUCCUCACUCACAAGGAGGAAAUAACCCCAUUCUGGUGAGUGGCCUUAGGAAUUAGUUCGUUCUAAAUAAGAAUGAUCUGGUCGUCAAAGGGCUCUCAGAUCUGAAUCCAGCUUCCCGAUCUCCCCCAACCCUGAAGCUGGAGAACUGGAUGUCUGGCUCCUCAUCCAAGCUUUCUGAAGAUUCCCAGCCACUCCCUCCAGGAAAAGAGGAAUUGAGUGUAAGGUGAGCAGGAAGGGAUGGCACAGAGCCACCCCCAGACAUAGGCCGGUGCCUAGCUGUUUUCCAAAAUAUAUUUGCAAAUGGACAAAGUGGGUGUGGAGAAGGACCCCCCACACUUGCCUCCCCAUACAACACCCAUUCUCCCCCUGGGUCUUUAUUUCAUCUUUAAAAAAACAAAACAAAAAAAGUAAAAACUAAACAGAAAAGCACUCUGUACAAA
rnacentral:lncRNA from 1 species